rnacentral:rRNA from 1 species
UGCCAGCCGCCGCGGUAAUACGGAGGGUGCAAGCGUUAUCCGGAUUUAUUGGGUUUAAAGGGUGCGCAGGCGGACCAAUUAGUCAGGGGUGAAAUCCCGGGGCUCAACCCCGGAAGUGCACUUGAAACAGCAAGACUUGAAUACGGGAGAGGAGAGAGGAAUUCCUGGUGUAGGGGUGAAAUCCGUAGAUAUUCGGAGGAACACCAGUGGCGAAGGCGGCUUUCUGGACCGAUACUGACGCUGAGACGCGAAAGCGUGGGGAGCAAACAGGAUUAGAUA